rnacentral:rRNA from 1 species
CACGUAGGGGGGCAAGCGUUGUCCGGAAUCAUUGGGCGUAAAGCGCGUGUAGGCGGUCCGGUAAGUCCGCUGUGAAAGUCGGGGGCUUAACCCUCGGAUGCCGGUGGAUACUGUCGGGCUUGAGUACGGAAGAGGCGAGUGGAAUUCCUGGUGUAGCGGUGAAAUGCGCAGAUAUCAGGAGGAACACCAAUUGCGAAGGCAGCUCGCUGGGACGUUACUGACGCUGAGGAGCGAAAGCGUGGGGGAGCGAACAGG